ACCCUUCACCAUUCGGGACUGGAAGUAGAUCGGCCACUCAUUAAUGGUGGCGUGUUCGUUGAAAUAUAUCCGUUUAAAUAUUAUGUACAUGAAAUACAAAUUUUUAUGGAAAAAAACAAUCAUAUCACCAUUUCAUUGGAAUACACUGUGCGUACAUGAAUUUAUCAUUCAGUUAGAAAUAUGUGAUAUACAUGUACAUGAACCCAUUCUUUUUCCGUGUAUGAGAAUUUGUUGAUAGCUACUUUAGAUUCAUGUUAUUGUCAAGAAGAAAAACAAACUUGCUCAUAUUAACCAGUAUUACAUAUGUUCUGUUGAUAACACAGGUUCGACUUAGUAUUAUUAGCGCGUUAAAUAAUUAUCGCUUUCCUUCGAGAUAUGAACAGUUGUGGGUUGACCAAAUUUUUAACAUUAAUAGAGUAGAAAGUUUUAUUAUUGCUUGUUGAAAUCCUUUUCCUAUAAAUUUAGUUUGAAUUUAUCUGUGUUGGUUUUUGUUCAUGUUUUGCAAUAAUAAAAGACAAUGUUUAUAUAUUC
rnacentral:misc_RNA from 1 species